ACUUGUACCGACUGGAUGAGCAGCGAACGGGUGAGUAACGCGUGGGGAAUCUGCCUUUGAGCGGGGGACAACAUUUGGAAACGAAUGCUAAUACCGCAUAAAAACUUUAAACACAAGUUUUAAGUUUGAAAGAUGCAAUUGCAUCACUCAAAGAUGAUCCCGCGUUGUAUUAGCUAGUUGGUGAGGUAAAGGCUCACCAAGGCGAUGAUACAUAGCCGACCUGAGAGGGUGAUCGGCCACAUUGGGACUGAGACACGGCCCAAACUCCUACGGGAGGCAGCAGUAGGGAAUCUUCGGCAAUGGACGAAAGUCUGACCGAGCAACGCCGCGUGAGUGAAGAAGGUUUUCGGAUCGUAAAACUCUGUUGGUAGAGAAGAACGUUGGUGAGAGUGGAAAGCUCAUCAAGUGACGGUAACUACCCAGAAAGGGACGGCUAACUACGUGCCAGCAGCCGCGGUAAUACGUAGGUCCCGAGCGUUGUCCGGAUUUAUUGGGCGUAAAGCGAGCGCAGGUGGUUUAUUAAGUCUGGUGUAAAAGGCAGUGGCUCAACCAUUGUAUGCAUUGGAAACUGGUAGACUUGAGUGCAGGAGAGGAGAGUGGAAUUCCAUGGGUAGCGGU
rnacentral:rRNA from 1 species